rnacentral:rRNA from 1 species
CAGUAGCCGCGGUAAUACGAAGGGGGCUAGCGUUGUUCGGAAUUACUGGGCGUAAAGCGCACGUAGGCGGACAUUUAAGUCAGGGGUGAAAUCCCGGGGCUCAACCCCGGAACUGCCUUUGAUACUGGGUGUCUAGAGUAUGGAAGAGGUGAGUGGAAUUCCGAGUGUAGAGGUGAAAUUCGUAGAUAUUCGGAGGAACACCAGUGGCGAAGGCGGCUCACUGGUCCAUUACUGACGCUGAGGUGCGAAAGCGUGGGGAGCAAACAGGAUUAGAUACCCGUGUAGUCCCUGUCUCUUAUAU